rnacentral:rRNA from 1 species
CCCGCACAAGCGGUGGAGCAUGUGGUUAAUUCGACGCAACGCGAAGAACCUUACCAGGGCUUGACACUCCCUGACCGCGUAUGAAAGUACGUUUUCACCCUCGGGUGACAGGGGAGACAGGUGGUGCAUGGUUGUCGUCAGCUCGUGUCGUGAGAUGUUGGGUUAAGUCCCGCAACGAGCGCAACCCUUGCCAUUAGUUGCUACGAAAGGGCACUCUAAUGGGACUGCCGGUGACAAACCGGAGGAAGGUGGGGAUGACGUCAAGUCCUCAUGGCCCUUAUAGGUGGGGCUACACACGUCAUACAAUGGCCGGUACAGAGGGUAGCCAACCCGCGAGGGGGAGCCAAUCCCACAAAGCCGGUCGUAGUCCGGAUCGCAGUCUGCAACUCGACUGCGUGAAGUCGGAAUCGCUAGUAAUCGUGGAUCAGCAUGCCACGGUGAAUACGUUCCCGGGCCUU